rnacentral:rRNA from 1 species
GACAGAGGUCUCGAGCGUUAGGCGGAAUCACUGGGCUUAAAGCGUGUGUAGGCGGAUCGUUAAGUGCCUUGUGAAAUCCCACGGCUUAACCGUGGAGCUGCUUGGCAUACUGGCGGUCUUGAGCCACCUAGGGGCAACCGGAACAAAUGGUGGAGCGGUGAAAUGCGUAGAUAUCAUUUGGAACGCCAAUGGUGAAAACAGGUUGCUGGGAGUGUGCUGACGCUGAGACACGAAAGCCAGGGGAGCGAACGGG